AUCUAUCUGGGAAACAACAAGAUCUCAGUCUCAGGACAGAUCAAUAUCAGAAAUGACAAUGGCACAAGUACCAGACAUGGAAUCCGAUCUAAUGGACAAUAACAGUGAAUAUGAGGGAGAUUUUUAUGGAGUUCUUUCCAAUGGAUACAAG